rnacentral:rRNA from 1 species
UACGUAGGUGACAAGCGUUGUCCGGAUUUACUGGGCGUAAAGAGCGCGCAGGCGGUCGAUCAAGUCGAGUGUGAAAGCCCCCCGGCUCAACUGGGGAGGGUCAUUCGAUACUGAUCGACUCGAAGGCAGGAGAGGGUAGUGGAAUUCCCGGUGUAGUGGUGAAAUGCGUAGAUAUCAGGAGGAACACCAGUGGCGAAGGCGACUACCUGGCCUGUUCUUGACGCUGAGGCGCGAAAGCUAGGGGAGCAAACGGG